rnacentral:rRNA from 1 species
GACGUAGGGUGCAAGCGUUGUCCGGAUUUACUGGGCGUAAAGGGCGCGUAGGCGGUCGUGACAAGUCACUUGUGAAAUCUCCGGGCUUAACUCGGAACGGUCAAGUGAUACUGUCGGACUAGAGUACAGAAGGGGCAACUGGAAUUCUCGGUGUAGCGGUGAAAUGCGUAGAUAUCGAGAGGAACACCUGCGGCGAAGGCGGGUUGCUGGGCUGAUACUGACGCUGAUGCGCGAAAGCCAGGGGAGCGAACGGG